rfam:Lupinus angustifolius cultivar Tanjil chromosome LG08, whole genome shotgun sequence.
GGGAGAGUGGUCGAGUUGUUAAAAGCGAUAGACUGUAAAUUUGUUGAAGUUUUUCUAUGUAGCUUCGAAUCCUGCCUCUCCCA